rnacentral:lncRNA from 1 species
UCCUUAUAAGGGUUAACAACAAAAUAAUUGUAUAUGUUAAUUAACAUUGCCAUCUGGUCUUGUACAUGUUGCCGUUUUCAAAUGGAUUCUAUCUUGAAUACUUUUUGAGAAAAAUGUAAAAGAAAGAAAUUGCUUCAAGGGGACAUAACUCUCAUAGGAAAUGAUGAAAUCCUUAGCAGCCUCAUAUGGUAACACAUCAUGAUGAGAUCUAACUAUUGUCCAAAUAAGGUCAUGAUAUCUUAAAAAACAACGAGGGGGGGCCAUGUCGAAAAAAACCAAUAAAAGGGAGAUAACUUCUAAAGGGGAUGAUGAAAUCCUACACAGCCUCAUCUGGUAAUACUUCAUGAUGAGGUCUACCGAUGGUCCAUAUUUGGUCUUGAUAACUCAAAUAGAAACGAGGGGAGGCCAUGUCAAACAAAUGCUGGAUGAAAAAAAAAAAAAAAAAAAAAAACAGGAGAAAAACAAUAAGGUCUUUCCUCGCGGAGAGGAAAGACCUUAAAAACAAUAAGGUCUUUCCUCACGUAGGGGAAAGACCUUAAAAACAUUAGAAAAACAAUAAG